GUGUGUGUGUGUGUGUGUGAGCACAAAAUAUUCACAAAGUACAUAAGUCAUUUUUUGUAUCUACUUUUCCAGAAAUAAAAAAAAGAAGAGAAGAAAAAGCAACACAUUCAGUUUGUUAAUACUGACAAUUUUAACAAAACUUGCUUCAGAUAUCCUAAUUAAACCUUCCUUGAUCAAAACUGCCUUAAAACAAACACAUAGAUAGGUUUGCUGUUAUUGUUCUGUUGUGGUCUGUGUGGAUCAGACAUUUGUCACACUUUUGACUAACUCUUACUCUUAAGGCAACUGCCAAUCAAGUGGGCCUUAUUUUUUUAUUCUAUUUAUUGAUUAUUGUAACCCUUGGCUUUCCCGCAUGCCUUAAAGAUAGACCAAGACACGACAGGCAUUGUUUGAAGUGAAGAUUUGAACACUCACUUCAAACCAAGUAUCAAGCAGAGGCUCCCCACACCUUAUCUCAACAGAGGGCUGCCGUGGUACAGUGGAACCAUGCGUGCUUUGGGAUCCGAGAGAGCUUUGCUGUUCCUGUUCUGUGCGAGAUUUCAGGGGCCGUGUUCUACAAACCGUCACAGCUAAUGACAUGAUCGUAGUGAGAGAAAGUGGUGCACUUUAGACACAAGUCCCUCUGUGACAGGCUCUCACCUUGUGACUCACCAUAAGUGCCAAGACAGGGUUCAGUCUGUUGUAGCGCUACCAACUGCUGUCUUAAAACUGUCAACAUGGUGGGUGCUUGGCUGUAUGUACCAUGGCAUGAUCCCCGACAGUUUUCAGUAUUAAUUAAUGAUAAAUACUUGUAAUGAUAACUAAAUAAUGUCCUUUGAUGCAGUAACUUACAAUUAUAGACAAACACCAUCAGUUGUCCCAAAACUCAAGCAAACCUUGCCCUGUGCUAUGCGUCAUGUGUGGGGCUGUUGGGCGUGAUCUUCUGUUUGUCAUGUCAUGUUUCUUGUUUGGAUACACAGUCUAACUAUUCCCAAACUUGUAAUAUAAUGUCAUAAUAAUUUAAAUUGUAGAAAAUUAAGUCAAGGAGCUAUUUCUUUGUAUUCAUGAGCCCAAAGACAACAGUGGAGUGACAGUCAGGUAUUGAGUGAGACCUGAGGCUGACUGUGUAGAAUGCAGCCCCAGAAUGACGGUCUGUGUUUUGUGUAUUUAUGGUGACCGUGUAGUGUUGCAAGGGACAACAUGCUGUUUGAGAGCAGUGCCAUUGUGAAAUGUUUAAAAAUCAUUUUACAGUUGAUAGUUCCUCACUGACUUUACAAUGAAAGUGAUCUGAAAAUAAUUUUUGAACUUGUCGGUACUAACAAGACUUGUGCAAUGGAAAUGCUCUCAAAACUACUUACUCUUACUCUUACUCUUAUGUCUUGUGUUAAUUUUUUUUUUUUUUUUUUAUUAUCUGUUCGUACAGGGACAGCUGCCAUGUAUGUGCAGAUCUCUUGUAACUGUCCUCAUUUUUGUUUCUCAGUAUUCAUACUUUGAUGAGGUGAAAAUAUUUCUAGACUAAAACAAAAUUGUCACAGGUUGGAAAUUGUAAAAAUUGUACAAUUCUGCUAUUCCAAUGGAAAUUGUAAAAACGAUGAAAAAUCUUGGUACGUUUUCAGUUUGUGAAAAUCGUGGUAUGUUUGCAGUUUGUAAAAACGUUUUCAGAGUUUGUGAAAAUCGUGGUAUGUUUUCAGUUUGUAAAAAUUUUCUAAGUUGAAAAUUUUUGUAGAGUUUUGUAUAGUUUUCAGUUGUGUAAAAAUGAUUUGAAUUAAUAAAGUGGAGUAAGGGAGA